rnacentral:rRNA from 1 species
UGGGGAAUUUUCCGCAAUGGACGAAGGUCUGACGGAGCGACGCCGCGUGCGGGAUGAAGGCCUUCGGGUUGUAAACCGCUGUCAGUGGGGUGGAAAUCGUAUGGGGCUAUCCUCAUAUGUUGACCUAACCGCAGAGGAAGUCCGGGCUAAGUACGUGCCAGCAGCCGCGGUAAUACGUACCGGACGAGCGUUAUUCGGAAUCACUGGGCUUAAAGAGUGCGUAGGCGGUCUAACAGGUGGGGUGUGAAAUCCCGCGGCUCAACCGCGGAACUGCGCUCCAAACCGUUAGGCUUGAGGGAGACAGGGGUGAGCGGAACUGAUGGUGGAGCGGUGAAAUGCGUUGAUAUCAUCAGGAACACCGGUGGCGAAGGCGGCUCACUGGGUCUCUUCUGACGCUGAGGCACGAAAGCUAGGGUAGCGAACGGG